GGGANUUGCCCCAGUAACGGCGAGUGAAGCGGCAACAGCUCANAUUUAAAAUCUGGCCCCGUCGGGUCCGAGUUGUAAUUUGAAGAGGAUGCUUUGGGUGCGGCGAUGGUCGAAUUCGCCUGGAACAGCGGGUCAGAGAGGGUGAGAACCCCGUCAAGUCCCGUCGGCCGCGCCCGUGUGAAGCUUCUUCGACGAGUCGAGUUGUUUGGGAAUGCAGCUCCAAGCGGGUGGUAAAUUUCAUCUAAAGCUAAAUACGGGCCCGAGACCGAUAGCGCACAAGUAGAGUGAUCGAAAGAUGAAAAGCACUUUGAAAAGAGAGUUCAAGAGUACGUGAAAUUGUUGAAAGGGAAGCGCGGGUCACCAGACGUGGGCGGGAUCGGUUCCCCCGAUCGCGAGAUGUGGGCUACUCCGUCCCGUCCAGGCCAACAUCGGUUCGGGUGGUCGGUGAAAGGUCCCGGGAACGUACCGACCCUCCGGGGUCGACUUACAGCCCGGGGCGUCAUGCGACCCACCCGGACCGAGGAACGCGCUCCGGCUCGGAUGNUGGCGUAAUGGUGAUCCGCGACCCGUCUUGAAACACGGACCAAGGAGUCUAACCGCUGUGCGAGUGUGGGGGUGUCAAGCCCCGGCGCGGAAUGAAGGUGAACGCAGGUCAGAACCCCCCUCGGGGCGCACGAUCGACCGAUCCGGAUGUCUUCGGAUGGAUUUGAGUAUGAGCACGGCGGUUGGGACCCGAAAGAUGGUGAACUAUGCCUGGAUAGGGUGAAGCCAGAGGAAACUCUGGUGGAGGCUCGCAGCGGUUCUGACGUGCAAAUCGAUCGUCAAAUCUGGGUAUAGGGGCGAAAGACCAAUCGAACCAUCUGGUAGCUGGUUCCUGCCGAAGUUUCCCUCAGGAUAGCAGUAACGGCGUCAGUUUUAUGAGGUAAAGCGAAUGAUUAGCGGCCUGGGGGUGGCAACCACCUUCACCGAUUCUCAAACUUUAAAUAUGUAAGAAGUCUCGGUUGCUU
rnacentral:rRNA from 1 species